CGCCGCGGAGCGCCGCCGCCUCCGGCGUCCUCGCGGCAGAUCCGCCGUCGCCUCCUUCUGAAAAUUCAGCGGACGACGGCAGCGGCUUCACGCCACCACCACCGGCGUCCUAGCCCCCAACUCUCUCUCUCCCUCUCCAACUUCGGUCGGGCAGAAGCAGAAGAAGCGGACUGCCGCCGUACCCUCCACCUCCCUUUCGAUCUCCGGCGAACGCGCCUCCGCGUCGCCUCCAGUCGAUGAAGGACGCCGCCUUCACCGGCUCCCUCACAACCCUGCCGUCGCCUCACUCCGAAGUCCGACGGCCGCAGCAGUUAGCCGAGCUAACUACCGCCACCCCCUUAGCUCCUGCCUCCCUCUCUCUCUUCGUCCUCGGCCCGACAGCAGCGGGCAGAGCCGCCGUGCCGCGGCCUCCCUCUGUCUCGCAUCUCUCUCACGAUCCAGCCCAACACACACACAACACCAGUUCAAAAGCAGAUACAAGAAUUCAAGACUCUACCU
rnacentral:lncRNA from 1 species